ensembl:lncRNA
CUGCACAGUGCCAGUGUGCUGCACAGCAUUUGGGAGAUGUUGGGUCCUAUCUCCCACACAUGCAAAGGCAGCUCUCAGAAUCACACUAGCACAGAGCAUGGAAUAGAAUCAAAUCAUGGCAUGUUCCAUCCACCAACUCCUGCUAUUUAUUUUCAUCUGACAAGAAACAAAUCUGAGCCUGAAGGUUCCAGGAAGAUCCUGAGGCCAGGAUCCAGACUGAGAUCAGAACAUUCAGAAGUCACAGGUCAGGAUCUUGUUGUGAGCCAGGAUGUACAGAAGGAGACUCUCUACAUGGAUCCACCAGCUUUUCCAUUGGCCGAGGGAGCACCACGACCUACACCAGCCAGGGAAUGGAGCAGUCUCUGCCUCAAGGACCUAAUAAAGAAUGGGGGCACCUCAGAGGAGCUUGCUGGGCCUCACAUUGAGAUGGAAGUGAAAAUGACGAUAGCCACUGAGUUGAGUGCAGUGCAGAGCAGAUGAGAUUAUUUUAAACAGUCAUCCAGACAGUCGUGCCUCUAUACACCCAGUGGUGCCAAUAUACAACCAGUUUGCUUUUAUGUCCUGAGGAGCAGAGAGAGUCUAUAUAGGCUCAACGAAUCGUAGAAUCAUUGAGGUUGGAAAAGACCUCUAAGAUCACCAAGUCCAACUGUCAGCCCAUCCCCAUCAUGCCCACUGACCACAUCCACACGGCUCUGGAACACCUCCAGGGACAGUGACUCCACCACCUCCCUGGGCAGCCUGUGCCACUGCAGCACCGCUCUUUUGGAGAUGAAAUGUUUCCUAGUAUCCAACCUUAACUUCCCCUGGUGCAACUUUAGGACAUUAAGCAAAACCUUCCCUUAUUUUGGUUGAUAUUAGACUGAAAUCCGGUACCAAGAGCCCUGUGGUCAUUCAGAGACCCACUGUCUUCAAGCAGCUUGCAAAGGGGGAACCUGCUGGGCUAGGUUAUCCAGCCUGCUAUAAAAGGCAACCUGUCAGUGCACUCAGGUGAUGGAGGCUUAGGACAGGUGUUGCAUGCCUGGAUUAGCUCUGCAACAAGGAUGCCUGUUUCUCUGUACUACGAUGUUUCAUAUUCUAGAAGCUGGAGAGGCCACGGCUCAGUCAGCCAUGCACUCGUGCCCUUUCCGGAGACACAUUGGAGCUGGGCUUGGGGCCGUUCUGGCAGUGUUGGUGGCUUGAGUUAAGUCCGCCUAUUUAUUAAGGUGACAUUUGCCCAAACGCCCUCCAGAGCUCUGCCACCACUGCCUGUACGGAUAGCCUCUUAGCAUUUCUGCAUUUUUACUGUCUAAAGAAGAUUUUUGUUUGAGAAUGUCCCUGGUUUGUUUCAAGUGCCAGGAAUGUGAAAGGAACUGCUGCUGGAAGACUCAGCCAAAGGUCACCAAAGCAGCUCCCUGUGCUGAGAGUUUCCUGUAAGGGAGAGAGAUGAUUGUGUAGGUGCAACACAGAUGUAGUUGCCCUCUGCUUUGAAGCAAAGCGCAGGUCAGAGCCAAUGGGAGCCUUUAAUAAUGUGGCCGUCUCAUCUGGCGCUGAAGGCAGAAAGUUUUCCUGCUAAUUGGAUUGUUGUGAGAUUAUCUGAGGAGGAACAAGCUCCUCUGGACAGAGGAGGGCUGGGAGCACACAGAGUCGUGGAGAAGGAGCAGUAAAAAAAGAACAGGAAGCAAUAAAAAAAAAAAAGAACAAGCACUGUACUCACACAAGCUCUAGCGUAAGACUUGUCUGCUAGGUAGAGGAGGGCACAGCAACAGUCAACCCCACGCCGAGGACACCGCAUCCAUACUGACCAUCAGCAGGCAGUGGCUGUUCUUCUGGAAGGAAGCAGUGAAGCUCAGAGCCAAAUAAAACGUGCCCAGGUUCACACAGAUGUACAGCCAGGACCAACAUGCAGCAUCAGAGAAGGCAACUGAAGAAGGUCUCUUCAUAAGGACCAUCAAGUCCGACUCUAGGCUCCAUACAGAACCACUCAGAAGUCGGACCUUAUGUCUGAGUACAUUGACCAGACCAGACGCUCCUUGAACUCCAGCAGCUCGGGGCCGUGCCACUGCCCUAGGCAGCCUGUUCCAUGCCCACCACCCUCUGGUGAAGAACCUCAUCCUAACCUCCAACCUGACCUUCCCCUGGCACAGCUCCAUGCUGUUCCCUCAGGCCCUGUCGCUGUCACGGAGAGCAAAGCUCAGCGUUUCCCAUCCUUUCCUCAAAUGGAGACCAAAAUAGAACAACUGGUCACGGGUAGCAGAGCGUGUGCUACAGAGGGCUCAAGCUCAUCAGUCUGUCUCCAUUUCAUGCAUUUUUCAUGCAUCACCUCUUACUUCUGAGCUAUUCAUUUUAUCUUUGUUUUCACCUGCAUCUAAUGAGCCUUUUCUGUGCUUUUGAUCAGAGAUGGUUCUGUGAAGACUUUUGUAAGGCUCUUCUCUCCCAUCCUCUUCAUCUUCCUCAACUCCUCCUUCUCUUCUGCCCUCCUUAGUUGUUCGUUUCCCAUCACAGGUAAAAAUCUUUGAGAGACAAUCAUCAGCCCUGCUAAGUGAGUCAGGAUAGUGAAUGGGAGGAAAUAAGGGCAUAUCCUGUGGUGCCAAAUAGCAGCAGCUAUAGAAAUGGCACCAAAAGCACCCUUUCUCUCUCUCUUCUGGAAGAACUGGGAUGGUGCCAUCCAGAGGAGAGCCCUGGGGGCUUGCUGAAUGAACCCUUCCUCCCAGCAUCGUACACCAGCAGAGAAAAGCAUGGGCUCACUGCCAGCUGUGCCAUUAUCUGCCUGAACACUGGGCCAGAAGCAGCUAGAGAGAUGGGUCUGAAUGGGGACUGAACAUCAUGAUUUCUCCCUACGCCUACUCUUUUCUGCAAGGCCAAUAUAGUCACUGUCAGGUGGAGAAAAACAGAUUGGUCCUGCUGCGUCAGCCCAUCGUAUCAGUCUCCAUCUCCAGCUGCAGCCAGCAUCGGGAGCUGCAGAAGGGACAGAUGGCUCCAGAUAGUGACACCUCUGCUCCACGAGUGUGCACUGCCCAAAUGCUGAUGCUGGCGAGUGCACCAAGCAGGCAGGCAUAGCCCCUGGUAGUCAUGGUGGUUCUUGCAGCCACAGCCUGCAAUGCUCUGAGACUGCAUUAGCCACAUGAAAAGUUCAACUUGGAUUUCUUCAUACAUGGGAGGAGUAGGAGGAACAAAUGCCUCUGGAGCAUAUUUCAUUGUAUGUCUGACUUUUACAUCAGUAAAUAGCUACAAGCUCUAAGAAAGGUUGAUGGUCUCUGAUUAACCAGAGAAAACUGCUGAGAUGGGGAACUUUUUCUCUUCUUGUGGCCAUAGCUUUAACACUCUGAUUCCCUUAUUCCCUUUUCAGCCCUGGAUGCAGAGAGGUGCUGCCAUCCCUGCUUCUCCAAUGGGCAAGUAUUGAGAAUUAACCUUACUUCUCCACAGGGUACCCCAGGAAGCCAUGGGAAAAGCAGGGAUACUUGAGCCCUAAGGAAAGCCUUGGCCUUUUGUUAACUGUUGAGCACGCUCAGAAAAAAAAAAAAAAAAAAAAAAAAAAAAAAAAAAAAGAAGGAAAAAAAAAAAGGCAAAAAAUACCCAACAGCAAAGCCACAGCAGUAUCUGUGAGCCUCUGAAGACUCAUAGUCAGCAAUUAUCUUUCGAAGGCUUUCUUUAAAAGUAACUUAUUACUAGCUAUCUGCUGAGAGACCAAAUAAUGCCAAGGUGCCUAGCCAAGAAUGUUCCCAUCCUAUUUUGAUGUGCUUAGAGGAAACGGAAUGGCUAGCUUAAAUGCUGGAGAAGACAACUGAGUGGGAGUCUGGGCUUAGUGAAGGCAGGUAGGCAAGAGUUUUGCAUUUGGUUUACAAAGAUCUUGAGUAGGCUGAGAUUCCAGACUGAUGAGAUGGUCUCUACAAUGACUACACUUCCCUUUUUCUUUUUCUUUUUUUUUUUUUUUCUUUUUCUUUUGGCAAAGAGCUCCGGUUCUUGCAAGCUACAGACAUGAAAGAGGAGCAUAUUCUCUGUAGCAGUAUAGGACUUGAAUUCUAUGCUAAUUUUGUCAGCAGCAGUUCUUCCUGUGGCAACGACACCAGCAUGCUGGUCACUUAGUUUGGAUCUCAGCUACACAGACUGCAGACCAGUCGCCAAAGAUGACACCUUUCAGUGAAGGUUUGUUCUGAACCAAUGACUUAAGAACGAAAAGCAUCAUAUCUUAUUUCUAUCUGAGCCGUAGAAAUGCUCAUCAACUUUGUACCAAAGAGAAAAGACUCGAGCUGACAAAAAGAGUCGUGGUGUUGUGGUCUUAAAAGAGCCGAGUUCAGAUCAUGACCCAUUAGCAGUUCACUGGCCCCUGGAAGAAGCCAGCACUGUUUUGGUGGUGCUGUGCCAAGCUGUGCUCUUCCUUCCCAAAUUUGAAGCUGUCUGUACAAGCAGGAAGCCAGGAGCUGCUGCUCCCCAAGGGAGAAUAACAGAAGGUAUUCCACCAAAACAGCACAAAUUCUUGUGGGGAUUCUUGGGAGGAAACAGAUGAUGAAGUUAAAGGAUUAUUUGCUUCAAAGAAGAGUAAAUUUGCUCAAAGAGGAAGUGAGAGAAAAUGUUGAGAGACUUGAACCUACGAGUAUAUUUGGAUUUGAGAGAUCAUACCUCCCUUCUGGUUUUGCCUUUUUUUUUUUUUUUGGUCAAAAUAUCUUGAAAAUCUCAGUGUUUUUCUUCCUUUUAUCCGAUUAGAAGUUGUGAGGAGGCAAUGCUAAAAUACUUCAUUUUAACUCUUUUUAAAUGAUAUUUUUUUCAUCUUUUC